CUUAUCUUGCGCAGCUUAGGUGGGAGGCUAUGAACCUUUUCUUCUGGGAAGAGGGGAGCCAUCAGUGAGAUACCACUCUUGGUAAGCUAGAGCGCUCAGUCUUCACCGUCAUCCGGUAAGACGACAGUUUCAGGCGGGCAGUUUGACUGGGGCAGUCACCUCCCAAAAGGUAAUGGAGGUGUGCAAAGGUUCCCUCAGGCUGGACGGAAAUCAGCCAUAGAGUGUAAAAGCAUAAGGGAGCUUGACUGCGAGACUGACAUGUCAAGCAGAGACGAAAGUCGGCUUUAGUGAUCCGACGGUGCUGUGUGGAAAGGCCGUCGCUCAACGGAUAAAAGUUACUCUAGGGAUAACA
rnacentral:rRNA from 1 species